UCCGGUUGAUCCUGCCAGAGGCUACUGCCAUCAGAGUUCGAUUAAGCCAUGUUAGUCGAGGGUGCUUCUUCUUCGGAAGAGGUAACCGGCAGACGGCUCAGUAACACGUGGACAACUUACCCUUGGGACCGGGAUAACCCCUGGGAAACUGGGGCUAAUACCGGACAGAGCAUCGGUUGCUGGAAUGCACGAUGGUCUAAAGCUGAGGCGCCCAAGGAUAGGUCUGCGGCCGAUUAGGUUGUUGUUGAUGUGACGGAUCAACAAGCCUACGAUCGGUACGGGUUGUGAGAGCAAUAGCCCGGAGAUGGGUUCUGAGAGAAGAACCCAGGUCCUACGGGACGCAUCAGGCGCGAAAACUUUACAAUGUGCGAAAGCACGAUAAGGGAACUCUGAGUGCCUCCUAAGGAGGCUGUUCGGGUGUCUAAAAAGCAUCCGAAGGAAGGGCUGGGUAAGACCGGUGCCAGCCGCCGCGGUAACACCGGCAGCCCAAGUGGUAGCCACGCUUAUUGGGUCUAAAGCGUCCGUAGCCGGCCAAGUAAGUUCUUUGGGAAAUUUGACCGCUUAACGGUCAAGCUAUCAGGGAAUACUGCUUGGCUUGGGACCGGGAGAGGUCAGAGGUACUCCAAGGGUAGGGGUGAAAUCCGUUAAUCCUUGGGGGACCACCGGUAGCGAAGGCGUCUGACCAGACCGGGUCCGACGGUGAGGGACGAAGGCUAGGGUCGCGAACCGGAUUAGAUACCCGGGUAGUCCUAGCUGUAAACGAUGCGGGCCAGGUGUUGGCAUUACUGCGAGUGAUGCCAGUGCCGAAGGGAAGCCGUUAAGCCCGCCAUCUGGGGAGUACGGUCGCAAGGCUGAAACUUAAAGGAAUUGGCGGGGGAGCAC
rnacentral:rRNA from 1 species